GUGGGGAAUAUUGGACAAUGGGCGAAAGCCUGAUCCAGCCAUGCCGCGUGUGUGAAGAAGGUCUUCGGAUUGUAAAGCACUUUAAGUUGGGAGGAAGGGCAUUAACCUAAUACGUUAGUGUUUUGACGUUACCGACAGAAUAAGCACCGGCUAACUUCGUGCCAGCAGCCGCGGUAAUACGAAGGGUGCAAGCGUUAAUCGGAAUUACUGGGCGUAAAGCGCGCGUAGGUGGUUUUGUAAGUUGGAGGUGAAAUCCCCGGGCUCAACCUGGGAACUGCCUCCAAAACUGCAUGACUAGAGUACGGUAGAGGGUAGUGGAAUUUCCUGUGUAGCGGUGAAAUGCGUAGAUAUAGGAAGGAACACCAGUGGCGAAGGCGACUACCUGGACUGAUACUGACACUGAGGUGCGAAAGCGUGGGGAGCAAACAGGAUUAGAUACCCCGGUAGUCC
rnacentral:rRNA from 1 species